CACGGACCAAGGAGUCUAACAUGUGCGCAAGUCAUUGGGUUUUAAACCUACAGGCGAAAUGAAAGUGAAGGCCGUUUGGUGUGCGGCCGAGGGAAGAUGGUACCGGACAACCUGGGUCUCGGCCCGGGCCCGGCCCGCAUUCCCGGGGCGUCUCGUCCUCAUUGCGAGGUGAGGCGCACCUAGAGCGUACACGUUGGGACCCGAAAGAUGGUGAACUAUGCCCGGCCGGGACGAAGUCAGGGGAAACCCUGAUGGAGGUCCGUAGCGAUUCUGACGUGCAAAUCGAUCGUGAGAGCUGGGUAUAGGGGCGAAAGACUAAUCGAACCAUCUAGUAGCUGGUUCCCUCCGAAGUUUCCCUCAGGAUAGCUGGCACUCGGAGGAAUUGAAGGAAAGAGUCUCAUACGGUAAAGCGAAUGAUUAGAGGCAUUGGGGCCGAAACGACCUCAACCUAUUCUCAAACUUUAAAUGGGUGAGAACUCAGGCUUGCUUGAGUAUGAAGCCGGAGACGGAUUGGAGUGCCAAGUGGGCCACUUUUGGUAAG
rnacentral:rRNA from 1 species